rnacentral:rRNA from 1 species
AUUGAACGCUGGCGGCAGGCCUAACACAUGCAAGUCGAACGAGUGGCGGACGGGUGAGUAAUGUCUGGGAACCUGCCUGAUGGCGGGGGUUAACUACUGGAAACGGUACCUAAUACCGCAUACCAUCAGAUGUGCCCUGAUGGGAUUAGCUUGUGGGUGGGGUAACGGCUCACCAAGGCGACGAUCCAUAGCUGGUCUGAGAGGAUGACCAGCCACACUGGAACUGAGACACGGUCCAGACUCCUACGGGAGGCAGCAGUGGGGAAUAUUGCACAAUGGGCGAAAGCCUGAUGCAGCCAUGCCGCGUGUAUGAAGAAGGCCUUCGGGUUGUAAAGUACUUUCAGCGGGGAAGCGUUACCCGAAGAAGAAGCACCGGCUAACUCCGUGCCAGCAGCCGCGGUAAUAC